CCUACGGGAGGCAGCAGUGAGGAAUAUUGGUCAAUGGCCGGAAGCCUGAACCAGCCAAGUCGCGUGAGGGACGACUGCCCUAUGGGUUGUAAACCUCUUUUAUAAGGGAAUAAUAAGUGCUACGUGUAGCAUUAUGUCUGUACCUUAUGAAUAAGCAUCGGCUAACUCCGUGCCAGCAGCCGCGGUAAUACGGAGGAUGCGAGCGUUAUCCGGAUUUAUUGGGUUUAAAGGGUGCGUAGGCGGUUUUUUAAGUUAGUGGUUAAACGUCGGGGCUUCACCUUGAUUUGCCAUUAAUACUGUAAGACUUGAGUUCAGACGAGGUAGGCGGAAUAAGUUAAGUAGCGGUGAAAUGCUUAGAUAUAACUUAGAACUCCGAUAGCGAAGGCAGCUUACCAGACUGCGACUGACGCUGAAGCACGAGAGCGUGGGUAGCGAACAGGAUUAGAUACCCUUGUAGUC
rnacentral:rRNA from 1 species